rnacentral:rRNA from 1 species
UACGUAGGGUGCGAGCGUUGUCCGGAAUUAUUGGGCGUAAAGAGCUUGUAGGCGGUUUGUUGCGUCUGUUGUGAAAAUCCGGGGCUCAACCCCGGACUUGCAGUGGGUACGGGCAGACUAGAGUGUGGUAGGGGAGACUGGAAUUCCUGGUGUAGCGGUGAAAUGCGCAGAUAUCAGAAGGAACACCAAUUGCGAAGGCAGGUCGCUGGGCCACUACUGACGCUGAGAAACGAAAGCAUGGGGAGCGAACAGG